UGUAAGGUUUCCAGUUUCGUACUCCAAUUGUUGCAUUCGCUUGUUUGCAACAUUUCCUUGUGGAAAUGAAAGCCUGCCUCUUCCACGAACGAGGCGUCGGAUCUACGACCUUUCUCCGUUUCCGAAUUAGUUUUUCUUCUUUGUUGGAUACGGUUGCUUCUGUUAAGUUGCUACACAUACAAUUUUCCUUUGUUUCUUUGCGCCGCUUAUCCGUUUGUUUAGAUCUGUCAUUUGUUCUCCCUCUUGCUGAACCAGGAGAUUGAAGGGCACCAUUCUUUGAUGUUCGAAUGUUUGAUUCCUUACAGGGAAGAACACAAUAAGUUUUUGCAUAGGCCUUCCUGUUUCUGAGUACUAAAAGUAUGGACCCCAAAUAUUGCUGGUUUAUCACAGCUCUCCUCCUCUUCGUUUCUUGCCAAAAAGCAGCAGCAAUCAGAGAGCAGAAGAAGGGGCGAGCCUGCUUAGAUCUGCAGCAAAAGAGGCACCACAGCAUGCUAAGCUCAUCACCGUUAUGGAAGACGAAGCCUUUGCCUCCACAUCACAAAGCAGUCAUGCCUAGCUUACAGCCCAAUUGGAGCUACCAAAUGAUAUUACAUUUAUACAGGCCAAUUUGAGCAACCAAAUGAUACAGGUCAAAUGAUUAUCCCUGCACUGCUGACAGUGGCCAACAUGAUGGAGGCAUCUUGGUUCAGAUUUGAGCCUAUUUUAAUAUCAGUUUAUAUGAAUAUUGCCAGCCGCCUCAGAAACAAUCAAAGCCUGAGCUUUCGCAUUACCAAAAACCAGGUGUUAGCCUCUACUGAACUUUAAGCUAUCUCAGAAGCCAAAUAUGGCCCCAUUGCAGUCUAUUCCUAUGAAUAAAUAUACCUCAAAUGGUAAACUAUGCGGUUAUGGAGCACGGACUAUUUUGCCAAGGAUCAAAUGCCAUUACACUAUCUUGCUCUCUGCUCCAUGAAACCAGCCUAGCCUUGAACCAUUUGCAUGCUAUUACCAAGGAGUACCUCCUUUAUGAUGAGUAAUCACUAAUGUACUUAUCCUAUAAUUAGCUGCUACUCUAAGAUGUCUACGACAAUGGCAUACUGGCUGUAUGAUCCUUUAAGGUAAUUAUGUGGCUGCCGGCGUCAUUGUUAGCACUGAUAUUUGAGCAACAUUCCUCGCUCCUCUAACUGAUAAUGUUAAUCGUUUUUUAUUUAGCGGUCAUUAUUAUUCCUUCGCUUAUAACAGCUUAUUUAUUUACUUUACCUUACAAACUCAAUACAGAAAAGCAGAGCUCCAUAUGACGAUUGAAA